GCAUUGAGCAAUUCACAGCUGCACCAAAACUCUCAGCUGAACACUGGGGCUUCAGGAUUCAAACAGCCCAGAAGAAUUGAUCUGCUGAGUCCACAGCAUCCACCCUCUUCCUCAGUUGAAGAGUUUAAGCAUGUUUCAGUGGUUCUGCACUCCCAGCACACAAAACCAUCUGCAGCAGCCCAAGUCAGAAACAGGCUCUCAUAGGCUGGCUCUGGAACAGGGAGUUUCUCGCAGCACGACCAACCACCCUUCCAGCAAAAACAGGUGUUCUCCACAUGGUGUGAGCAGGCUUUUUGCUGGGAACAGGGUGUGUGCGGGCUGAAAAGCACUGAGGAGGAACUGAGGCCAUGGCUGAUCCAGGAGGGUGCCCAGAGCAGCUCUGCAAGCGAGGUUAGUGCCUUCGCUUCUCUGUCAUCACCAGUCCCUGAGAGCAAUCACCACCCACCAACAGUUCCUCAAGAUAAGACUGAGCCAGCUGGGAGAAGAAAGCCUUUGAUAUUUCACUGCCUCGCUGACUCACGUCUCAGAGUGGACCAGCAGAGGUGACUGGGCAUAUAAGAAUAACACUGGACAGAAGGUUUGACUUGGACAAAGUGGCUGCAUGCUUCUCUCUUUCCUUGUCCCAUUGGAAGUACAACAUUGCUGAGAAACAACUGAAGUUUAUAGGUAUUUCAAUAUUAGUCUUCACCUUUCAUGUCCCUUGCUGCUGCCCAUCAGCAUGUACAUUUUAG